rnacentral:rRNA from 1 species
CACGUAGGGGGCGAGCGUUUUCCGGAUUUAUUGGGCGUAAAGAGCUCGUAGGCGGCUCGGUAAGUCAACUGUGAAAGCUCCGGGCUCAACUCGGAGAGGCCAGUUGAUACUGCUGUGGCUAGAGUCCGGUAGGGGAGCGUGGAAUUCCUGGUGUAGCGGUGAAAUGCGCAGAUAUCAGGAGGAACACCAGCGGCGAAGGCGGCGCUCUGGGCCGGAACUGACGCUGAGGAGCGAAAGCGUGGGUAGCAAACAGG